rnacentral:rRNA from 1 species
GAUGAACGCUGGCGGCGUGCCUAAUACAUGCAAGUCGAGCGAACAGACGAGGAGCUUGCUCCUCUGACGUUAGCGGCGGACGGGUGAGUAACACGUGGAUAACCUACCUAUAAGACUGGGAUAACUUCGGGAAACCGGAGCUAAUACCGGAUAAUAUAUUGAACCGCAUGGUUCAAUAGUGAAAGACGGUUUUGCUGUCACUUAUAGAUGGAUCCGCGCCGCAUUAGCUAGUUGGUAAGGUAACGGCUUACCAAGGCAACGAUGCGUAGCGACCUGAGAGGGUGAUCGGCCACACUGGAACUGAGACACGGUCCAGACUCCUACGGGAGGCAGCAGUAGGGAAUCUUCCGCAAUGGGCGAAAGCCUGACGGAGCAACGCCGCGUGAGUGAUGAAGGUCUUCGGAUCGUAAAACUCUGUUAUUAGGGAAGAACAAAUGUGUAAGUAACUAUGCACGUCUUGACGGUACCUAAUCAGAAAGCCACGGCUAACUACGUG